ensembl:snoRNA
UCCCAGUGAUGAGAUAAUGGCAAGUAUGAGCCAAUCAGGCUGAGUGUGUGCACCUUCCUCCCGAUUGGUGGGUAAUCUUGGCAGUGUGGCGAAGAUUGGCUGCUCUGCUGUAAGGGCCUACCUAAAGUAAACUAGCAGCCCUUCUCACCCUCUGCCCAUCCCAGAGACAUGGGAGAACGCAGGAUGAAAGCUGCUGAAAGUGUUUGUCUGAGGACACAACUCCUCGUUGAUGGCCUUUGCUAUGGCUAUGACAUCUUCCUUUGGUAAUCUGAGGGCA